rnacentral:lncRNA from 1 species
AAGCAAGCGGAUCAACAGUACAAAAUUCCCCCAGCUGUGAGAACCACAUGGGCUACUCGGAAUCAGAUUUAAGCUAACAGAUGAAAAUACAUUUGCCAAAAUAAGGUAAUGAAACAUUCAGUAUUAGCACAGAGAUCAGGCUGAGGGCCAAGGCCUGCCUCUUUUGUGAAAGGAAUGAUUUGGGGGAAUCACUGCCCUUUGAAUUAUUGUUAAUGUAGCUGUAGUCAGGCUUAAGUGUCCCCUAGUUGUAUUUACUGUCUGCAGCACAAACACAUAGAUAAGACAUGGAAUGAAAUGCUGGCUUUACUGGAGGAAAUGGGACUUUUGCCAAGGAUACAGAGGAGCCAAGAUCUCACCCAUAGUUCUUAGUCACCCAGAUCUAGAAAUCUAUCUAAUUUAAAGAAAGGCAAGAAAAGGCACAGAUAACUGCCCAGGCUUUUCAUAUGUAUAAUUUGAUGUUGCCAAAUAACCUCACAUCUUUGACUAGAGCUAGGGACUGCUCAUGGUCUCCUGGAGGCAAAUCAUUCCUUGUAGGCCUGCAUUGUAGAGGGUUAGACUAGAUGGCACUUGGGGUCCCUCCCAACGCUACAAUUCUAAGAUUCUAUAGGUCACCUCUUAGGUCUGAGUGAGCCCAGGCUUAGUUUUGAGUUCACAUGACUGGGUUCAUAAUUCUUAAAUAUCAAUCACACUGCUUAUUUACUUAUUAUUUCUUUCCUGGCCUUCCACCAAGGCGCUCAGCAGAACAUGUUUGUUUCGCAUCAGCUCUGUGAGGCAAAUUAGGCUGAGAGAUAGAGACUUUCUCAAGUCCAGCCCAUGAGCCUAAUAGGCAAGUGCAGAUUUGAAUCUGCAUCUUCCAUAUCCAAUACUAAUCAAAUUCAAACUUUUGGGUAAACCUCAGGCUGAUGCAUUCCCCACUUCCUUCAUUUGGCCAUGAGGAACAAUUUGGAAGCAUUUGCUUCUAUUUUCCAUUAACCACGGUUUAGUGUUGCCCUAAUCCUAAACUGUGGUUAAUGUUAACUGUGAUAUUGUGAUUAAGGUGGGGGGGAAUAUCAAAUGUUUUUAAUUGUUUUUAAUUGUUUUAAUUUUGACUGCAUUGUUUUAUUAAUGAUACAUUUGCCACCCUGGGCUCCUUUGGGAAGAAGGGCAAGGGAUCCAUUUUAAGUCAAUAAAUGCAUAAAUGAAUGCAAGUGAAUGGUUUGGAACCCCUUCUUAUUGUCAUGCAAGAGGAGAAACUGCUGCUUUAGACUUUAUACUAUUGGUCCUUGGGCUGCUCUGAAGGAUUUCAGGUGGGGUUUCUCCCAGCUUGACCUGGAAAUGCCACAGAUUUUUAAUUGUUUGAUGGUUUAAUCUUUAAAAAAUACACUGCAGAAUAACGUUCCCCCCAAAAUGGAUUGGCCCUAGUAACAAAUAGCGAGCCUCUGUGUCCUGCUUUACACAGUCCUCUGUUUGCAGGGAUAUCCAGUCCUCACCCAGUUUAAAGAUAAAGAAGCAUAGGGAGGCAGAACAAGAGACUUGAAGUUGCCUUUCAAUAGUUAACUCCUGAACACCAAUGUGAGCAGGCACACAGGUGACCUGGUUGUAGUCCUCCCCAUUAUGAACAGUUUCUAAAUUUCUAUUUAAAUUGCAGUAUUUCCCUCCUAUAUUUGCAUAUAUACAUAUCAAUGAGUAUGUGCAAAAUUUAUGCAUUUUAAUAGGAGGAGGGGUGCAUUUUCUCUUUUUGGCUACCCUACUGCUGACAAUCCACUGGAGAAAGGGGAGCUAAAAUCCCAGCAGACAAGUCAGGGGACGCUAUCUGAAGAUGAGUGCAUGGAAAGGAGAAAAGCACAAUAAAAGCUGAAGGCUCUGAAUAAUAUACGCAUUUGCAGCACAAAAUGUUGGAAAGAAUGAGUGUGCUUGUUGAUACAGAGGUGGAGGAUCACUAGUUUACGAGAGAGAGAGAGAGAGAGAGAGAGAGAGAGAGAGAGAGAGGAAAUUCUACCAGGCAAGGUCAGGCAGAUCAUUAUCAGCUCCAACUCUCCCAUAAGCAUUCUUUACCUGAAACUCAUUUAAAAGGGUGAGGCUUGUUCCUGAAUAUGGAAACAAAGAAAUAACCUCUAGCUUGAUCUUUGCAAAUGAGUACCCCAGGGACCAACAAUAAGCCUGGGGGCAAACAUGCAAGCAAACACACUCUGGGAAGGCGAGAUCAGAUUUGCAAAGCCAUCUGAUUGCUUCACAUGCAAUACUAUACCCACAGUUUACUGGGAAUAAGGCCCAUUCAACUAAGCAGGACUCCAGUACUGUGUUUAUAGAAUUGCACAACCAGGGACCAAAAUGAAAGACCGGGUCAGGAUGUGGGAGAAAGAGAAUCAUUGCUAAUAGGUGGGAUUCUGUGUCACAGGGAAGGGGUACCCAAAGGGAGAGGCAUAGACUCACCCUCCAACAUCCUGCUGAUCAAAAUUGGAGCACUCAGGGGUUUUGGUCCCAAGCUCUUGUGGGAGCCAGUUGAUUCGCAGGAGAGUGCAGGAACUAAAGCUGCUCAUUUUUUGGACUCAUACAAGAGUGCUGGACCAAAAAAAUGAGCAUCUUUUGGUCCAGUGCUCUCACGCAAGCUAGCUGACUCAUGCCAGAGUGCAGUACCAAAAUAUGGGACAUUCUGGGAUCCAAUCAGAAGCUGGGGUGGCUUCUGUAAUUCCAGGAUGUCCCAACUCAAAUCAGGAUGGUUGAGGAGUAUGUAGACCUCGGUGGGGCAGAGAACUUUUCCAUCUGGUCCAGGGUGCUCAUCACCAGCAGGCUGAUGUUGCAUGCCCAGGAGGGCUACUGAACUGAUUGCCUUCUGGACUACCCAUAAAGGUAAAGGUAAAGGGACCAUUGACCGUUAGGUCCAGUCGUGACCGACUCUGGGGUUGCGGCGCUCAUCUCGCUUUACUGGCUAAGGGAGCCUGCAUACAGCUUCCAGGUCAUGUGGCCAGCAUGACUAAGCCGCUUCUGACGAACCAGAGCAGCGCACGGAAACACUGUUUACCUUCCUGCCGCAGCAGUACCUAUUUAACUACUUGCACUUUGUCAUGCUUUCGAACUGCUAGGUUGGCAGGAGCAGGGACCGAGCAACGGGAGCUCACCCCGUUGUGGGGAUUCAAACCGCCGACCUUCUGAUCGGCAAAUCCUAGGCUCUGUGGUUUAACCCACAGUGCCACCCGCAUCCUGGACUACCCAUAGGACAAUGCUAAUGUGGAAUGUGGAACGCCCUCCCACCAGAUGUCAAAGAGAACAACAACUACCAGACUUUUAGACGACAUCUGAAGGCAGCCCUAUUUAGGGAAGCUUUUAUGCAUUACUGUAUUUUAAUAUUGUGUUGGAAGCCGCCCAGAGUGGCUGGGGAAACCCAGCCAGAUGGGGGGGGGGGAUAUAAAUAAUAAAUAAUAAUAAUUAUUAUUAUUAUUACAAAUGAACCUACAGUGUCAAAUUUAACAAAUGUUUUAAACUUCAUGUACCAGAUGUCAUAACAAAAUCCCAAACAUGCAAUUGUGCUUAACUUUGAAAUGUUCGUUUUAUGCUUUCUAAGACACCACACGGCAAAAACGGACUGCCUACAGCCUCCCUCCCAGCUGUAGGGCAGGCAGAGUGGGAGGAGGCAAGCAUAAUACUGUAUGGGGGCGUCCUAUCCAUGGGGGCAUCCAAUACAUGGAAAAAUAUGGUAAAAACGCUUAUUUAGAUGUGCUUGUCUCCUCUGGGGCUUGUACCCCUGCCCCUGGCCUGGCCAUUCAUCUUCUCUGAUGCCCACUGCCCACAUUAGUGUGCGGUAGUUUCAUUCUGAAAAAGGAAAGGAAGCAGAAAAAGAAACAAUGACACAAUAAUUGCUACAAUAUAGAUGGACUGAUAGGGUCGUGUUUCUUCAGCUGUCAGUUGCUGGAGGUGCAGUUUUAGUUCUAGGUAGAAGACAUCAGAUCCCCAAUUUAGAGACCUCUUAAAUGUGAAAACAAAGGCUAACUGACCACCAUAAAAUUGGUUUCUGAUUCAUCCAGCAUUUUGCUUAUUUUUCUGAGUACCUUUAUAAAAGAAGUUUGAUUUUAAAAUUAUGUCUCCUUUUUGUGUCAUCCAACAGCCAUUUAAGAGGAGAGCUUGAUGGAUUGCGCAAGGCAACUUUAAAUUCAAUUACAGACUGUUCUUCUUGGGAUGUUCCUGGGCUUCCUCUGCGCAGUACAAUGAAGGGCAGCUCUUUGAAGAAUUACAGGCGGCAGCUGUUGAUGGCUCUCCGUAAUAGCCAAACAGUGCUUUAUCUGAUGGAAAGUCAUGUCCCCAAAGCUGGUUGAAAUAAAGAGAGAUGUACUGGG